GUCAAAAGCAACUCUCACAUUUAAGUUCAUUUUAUUGGAUUUAAUGUUGAAACAAUUAGUAGUUGAAAUAGUAAGAAAUAAUAAAUAAAUAGUAAUUCAUGUUCUGUUCAUUAGAUUUAUAUGUUUAAAUGUGUAUUUGUGCUAACUGUGCAAUUAGAUAGGAACCUUUUCUAUCGUUCCGUCUGUUGUUGCUGAGAGGGCAUUUUUCUUGGUGGGCACACUCAGCAAGCUAAUUAAGAGACGAGCCACGAGGUUUGCACGUCUACAGAAAGUUGUGAAGAGUGUUUUGGACUACCCCACGACGUGAGGAUUAAAGUUUUUAUUCCCUUUGAGUGAGGCCAAUGAGUUCUGACGGCAUUGUAUCGGCUGUGGUUGGACGUCAUUACAUGUUAAGGCAUGUCGAAGAAUCCUCCUGUCCGAAAUAAAUGUCAGUUUAAAACCAAAGAACAAGUUGAGCUUUAUUAAGACUCGAGGGGAGUAACAGUCAGAACUCAGCCUGCUUCGUGCUGGAGGAGAGAGAAGGAGAAAGAGGUCUGUCGCAGCGGAGCCGAGCCGACA